rnacentral:tRNA from 1 species
GGGUCGUUAGCUCAGUUGGUAGAGCAGUUGACUUUUAAUCAAUGGGUCGCAGGUUCGAAUCCUGCACGACCCACCA